GAUGAACGCUGGCGGCGUGCCUAAUACAUGCAAGUCGAGCGAACGGACGAGAAGCUUGCUUCUCUGAUGUUAGCGGCGGACGGGUGAGUAACACGUGGAUAACCUACCUAUAAGACUGGGAUAACUUCGGGAAACCGGAGCUAAUACCGGAUAAUAUUUUGAACCGCAUGGUUCAACAGUGAAAGACGGUCUUGCUGUCCCUUAUAGAUGGAUCCGCGCUGCAUUAGCUAGUUGGUAAGGUAACGGCUUACCAAGGCAACGAUGCAUAGCCGACCUGAGAGGGUGAUCGGCCACACUGGAACUGAGACACGGUCCAGACUCCUACGGGAGGCAGCAGUAGGGAAUCUUCCGCAAUGGGCGAAAGCCUGACGGAGCAACGCCGCGUGAGUGAUGAAGGUCUUCGGAUCGUAAAACUCUGUUAGUAGGGAAGAACAUAUGUGUAAGUAACUGUGCACAUCUUGACGGUACCUAAUCAGAAAGCCACGGCUAACUACGUG
rnacentral:rRNA from 1 species